UACAUUAAUGAGGAAAAAAAUGAACUUAAAUGAUUUUAGCAAAUGGCUGCAAUAUAACAAAGAGUGAAAAAUUUAAGGGGUCUGAAUACUUUCCGUACCCACUGUAUUAUUAUGAAAACAUACAUCAUUAUUUGAACUCAUUUUCACUGAAGAUAUUUCAGAGCAUUCUUGAACCAUUUAGUGAUUAAUUGUUCAUAUUGAUUAAUUGUGAAAUAUUUUUGUUUAUGUUUGUCAGUCUGAUGAGACACUAGUCUUUGACUUUAUAUGAACAUCUCUCAGUGUGGAUGAAGCAUUUUCAGCUUUCAGUGCCGCUGUAGAAAUAAUCUAUUCACUCUCAUGAUUCAUUUAUAUAAGGUGAAUGUUUCUGAUAAUAUGUGACCAAGAUAAAGUGAGCAGAAUUCAGCUGGUCAUGUGAUCUCAACAUGGUGGCCACCAUAAGGAGGACAAAAGAUUUUUUGAAAUGACUGGAGAGUCAUGAGUGUAGAUCAUUUUAAACAUAUUCGUCACACACAAUAAUUAUUUCUUUAUGAACACAUUAAUGUACUUCAUCUUUAAAAACAUGAUAACAAUGAGAAAGCAAGUACUAAAUAAAUCAAUUUUACAGUUUGGUGUCCAUCAGGACUCAUGACACUAGUCAUAGUGUCAAGUCAUGUGACACUAGAUUAAACAAUGUUCAUAUGAAAUGUUCAGAAUUAUUGAUUAAUUAAUUUAAAGCUGCAGGUUUUUCUGUGAAUCAUGAUGAUUGAGCUUCAUAUGAAGAACAGAAGAUCAUUAUGAGAAACUCCACAACAUCAUCCAUGAUAAAAGAGGUCACCUCUGAGGUCACAGAUCAUAAAAUAUAUUUCUUUAAACAGUGUUAUAUCAGCACAGGACUAGAGAAUGAAUGAGAAAUAUAGGAUAGAAAGUCAAACUGUGUGAUAUCUGUUGUAGAUGAUAAACUCUUCAACUGUUUUUCAAGCAAUAAUAACAUUUUAACUUGUUUGUGUGAAAGUGUGUUUGUUUGUUUGUUUUGAAAAUCAUUUCAUCCAAACUGAAUGUGUGAGUGUUGAGAAGAUGUGAGUUUCUUCUAAUAUCAGUGUGUUGAAGUGUUGUUUCUCUCUCUCUGCUGGAGUUUGUGUUCACUCGAGUGGAAUAGAGGUUUUUGUACGACCGUUUCAUUAGAUUGUAUCACUGUGGUGCACAUUCGGUGGAGGAACUAAACUGGCGCUCGCUGGUCCCACAGUGAAGCCCUCAGUGUCUCUGCUGCCGCCCUCUUCUCUGCAGAUCUCUGGAGACUCAGCCGCACUGCUCUGCCUGCUCAGCUCUUACUCUCCACAGGGGGCGCUGGUGAGCUGGACACUGGACGGGUCAGAGGUCACCGAGGGGGUCGUGACCAGCGCGGAGAGCCAGCGGGACGGCCGCUACAGCCGCAGUAGCGUCCUGACCCUCAGCAAAGCACGCUGGGAAGAGGGAGAGGUGUACGUCUGCAGAGUAACACAUGAUGGAGCUCCUCAUGAGGUCUCGUUCCACAAGAGCUCUGAGUGCUGAUGUUUCUCUCCUGAAGAUGAGCCGUAUCUGAGUGUCCUGUGUCAGGCAGGAUUCACAUGAGUCUAGUGCUGCAGCUGUAGUGAUUUACAACUCAAUACUGAAAGAGAGCUGGCGUGUCAAAGCACUGUGUGAUCUUUCAAUCUGCUGUAACAUUCAAUAAAGCUUCUCAACAAGUUCA